rfam:Schistosoma mattheei strain Denwood, Zambia genome assembly, scaffold: SMTD_scaffold0002812
AUCCAGCUGACGAGUCUUAAAUAGGACGAAACACGCACCUUGGAU